rnacentral:misc_RNA from 1 species
ACGUGUUUGAACCUCACGGUUCUUCAUUCCAAAGCUGUGCGCUUUCGGGCUGCACGCGGAGGAAAACACUAUAUUCCACACCUGUGCACAUACACGGUGAUGGGCUUAACUGCCCGCCGCCGAUUUAUCACAUACAUCUUAUUAGUUCUGAGUGUAAAACCAUAAAUAAUA